UACGUAGGGGGCAAGCGUUGUCCGGAUUUAUUGGGCGUAAAGGGCGCGUAGGCGGUCUUGUAAGUCUUGUGUGAAAUCCCUCGGCUCAACUGAGGAACUGCACGGGAUACUGCGAGACUUGAGUUCGGGAGAGGGAAGCGGAAUUCCGGGUGUAGCGGUGAAAUGCGUAGAUAUCCGGAGGAACACCGGUGGCGAAGGCGGCUUCCUGGACCGAUCACUGACGCUGAGGCGCGAAAGCUAGGGGAGCAAACGGG
rnacentral:rRNA from 1 species